GACGAACGCUGGCGGCGUGCCUAAUACAUGCAAGUCGAACGAGAGCGACCGGUGCUUGCACUGGUCAAUCUAGUGGCGAACGGGUGAGUAACACGUGGGUAACCUGCCCAUCAGAGGGGGAUAACAUCCGGAAACGGAUGCUAAAACCGCAUAGGUCUUCGAACCGCAUGGUUUGAAGAGGAAAAGAGGCGCAAGCUUCUGCUGAUGGAUGGACCCGCGGUGCAUUAGCUAGUUGGUGAGGUAACGGCUCACCAAGGCCGUGAUGCAUAGCCGACCUGAGAGGGUGAUCGGCCACAUUGGGACUGAGACACGGCCCAAACUCCUACGGGAGGCAGCAGUAGGGAAUCUUCCGCAAUGGACGCAAGUCUGACGGAGCGACGCCGCGUGAGUGAAGAAGGUUUUCGGAUCGUAAAACUCUGUUGUUAGAGAAGAACAAGUGCUAGAGUAACUGUUAGCGCCUUGACGGUAUCUAACAAGAAAGCCACGGCUAACUACGU
rnacentral:rRNA from 1 species